AUUGAACGCUGGCGGCAGGCCUAACACAUGCAAGUCGAGCGGAGCGGCGGACGGGUGAGUAAUGCCUAGGAAUCUGCCUGGUAGUGGGGGAUAACGUCCGGAAACGGGCGCUAAUACCGCAUACUAUCAGAUGAGCAUAGGUCGGAUUAGCUAGGUGGUGGGGUAAAGGCACACCAAGGCGACGAUCCGUAACUGUUCUGAGAGGAUGAUCAGUCACACUAGAAUUGAAACGCGGCACAGACUCAAACGCUAGGCGGCAGAGGGGAAUGUAAGACAAGUUGAGAGGGGCUGAUCCGGCCAAGCCGCGUAUGUGGAGAAGGUCUUCGGAUUGUAAUGCACAUUAUGUUGGGAAGCGUUACCAACAGAAUAAGCACCGGCUAACUUCGUGCCAGCAGCCGCGGUAAUUC
rnacentral:rRNA from 1 species